AGUGGCGGACGGGUGAGUAACACGUGGGAACGUGCCUUUAGGUUCGGAAUAACUCAGGGAAACUUGUGCUAAUACCGAAUGUGCCCUUCGGGGGAAAGAUUUAUCGCCUUUAGAGCGGCCCGCGUCUGAUUAGCUAGUUGGUGAGGUAAAGGCUCACCAAGGCGACGAUCAGUAGCUGGUCUGAGAGGAUGAUCAGCCACAUUGGGACUGAGACACGGCCCAAACUCCUACGGGAGGCAGCAGUGGGGAAUCUUGCGCAAUGGGCGAAAGCCUGACGCAGCCAUGCCGCGUGAAUGAUGAAGGUCUUAGGAUUGUAAAAUUCUUUCACCGGGGACGAUAAUGACGGUACCCGGAGAAGAAGCCCCGGCUAACUUCGUGCCAGCAGCCGCGGUAAUACGAAGGGGGCUAGCGUUGCUCGGAAUUACUGGGCGUAAAGGGAGCGUAGGCGGACAUUUAAGUCAGGGGUGAAAUCCCGGGGCUCAACCUCGGAAUUGCCUUUGAUACUGGGUGUCUUGAGUAUGAGAGAGGUGUGUGGAACUCCGAGUGUAGAGG
rnacentral:rRNA from 1 species